rnacentral:rRNA from 1 species
UACAGAGGGUGCGAGCGUUAAUCGGAAUUACUGGGCGUAAAGGGUGCGUAGGUGGUUGAAUAAGUUAGGUGUGAAAGUCUCGGGCUUAACCUGAGGAUUGCGCUUAAAACUGUUCGGCUAGAGUACUGUAGAGGGAAGUGGAAUUUCCGGUGUAGCGGUGAAAUGCGUAGAUAUCGGAAGGAACACCAGUGGCGAAGGCGACUUCCUGGACAGAUACUGACACUGAGGCACGAAAGCAUGGGGAGCAAACAGG